UACGUAGGGUGCAAGCGUUAAUCGGAAUUACUGGGCGUAAAGCGUGCGCAGGCGGUUUUGUAAGUUUGUCGUGAAAUCCCCCGGGCUCAACCUGGGAAUGGCGAUGAAGACUGCAAGGCUAGAAUCUGGCAGAGGGGGGGUAGAAUUUCACGUGUAGCAGUGAAAUGCGUAGAGAUGUGGAGGAACACCGAUGGCGAAGGCAGCCCCCUGGGUCAAGAUUGACGCUCAUGCACGAA
rnacentral:rRNA from 1 species